rnacentral:rRNA from 1 species
AACGACUCUCGGCAACGGAUAUCUCGGCUCUCGCAUCGAUGAAGAACGUAGCGAAAUGCGAUACUUGGUGUGAAUUGCAGAAUCCCGUGAACCAUCGAGUCUUUGAACGCAAGUUGCGCCCGAAGCCAUUAGGCCAAGGGACNUYNGGGUGGGUGUCACAAAANG